rnacentral:rRNA from 1 species
AGCGAACGCUGGCGGCAGGUCUAACACAUGCAAGUCGAACGAACCCUUCGGGGUUAGUGGCGGACGGGUGAGUAACGCGUGGGAACGUGCCUUUAGGUUCGGAAUAACUCAGGGAAACUUGUGCUAAUACCGAAUGUGCCCUUCGGGGGAAAGAUUUAUCGCCUUUAGAGCGGCCCGCGUCUGAUUAGCUAGUUGGUGAGGUAAUGGCUCACCAAGGCUACGAUCAGUAGCUGGUCUGAGAGGAUGACCAGCCACAUUGGGACUGAGACACGGCCCAAACUCCUACGGGAGGCAGCAGUGGGGAAUCUUGCGCAAUGGGCGAAAGCCUGACGCAGCCAUGCCGCGUGGAUGAUGAAGGUCUUAGGAUUGUAAAAUCCUUUCACCGGUGAAGAUAAUGACUGUAGCCGGAGAAGAAGCCCCGGCUAACUUCGUGCCAGCAGCCGCCGUAACAC